UCCGUAGGUGAACCUGCGGAAGGAUCAUUAUUGAAUUAUAGGCGAGGGUUGUAGCUGGCCUCUCGAGGUAUCGUGCACGCCCGAGCUCUUAAAUCCACAACACACCUGUGAACCCACCGUAGGCCUUCGGGCUUAUGUAUUUUCAUACACAAACUCAUAGAAUGUUUCAUGUUGCUUUAAAACGCAAUCGAAUACAACUUUCAACAACGGAUCUCUUGGCUCUCGCAUCGAUGAAGAACGCAGCGAAAUGCGAUAAGUAAUGUGAAUUGCAGAUUUUCAGUGAAUCAUCGAAUCUUUGAACGCACCUUGCGCUCCUUGGUAUUCCGAGGAGCAUGCCUGUUUGAGUGUCAUUAAAUUCUCAACCCCACCAGAUUUGAUUCUGGGGGGAUUGGACUUGGAGCGUGCUGGCGAAGGUCGGCUCCUCUUUAAAUGCAUCAGUGGAGAGAAACUUGCCCCGGUGUGAUAAAUUCUGUUGUUGCGCCGUGUGGUGGGUGAAAGUCUGCUUCCAACCGUCCCUUCAGGGGGACAGACUCAUUUUGACCUCAAAUCAGGUAGGACUACCCGCUGAACUUAAGCAUAUCAAUAAGCGGAGGA
rnacentral:rRNA from 1 species